rnacentral:lncRNA from 1 species
CGUAGCUCAGCCGAGAAGCCUGGGUGCUAGCCCCUUGGCACAUGGCGGGAUUUCAAGUUUCCAUUUUCAAACUUUUGAACACAAACAUUUUCAAUUUUCUGGCACUUUGAAAGGAGUUUACAGCGUUUUAGAACGGCGACGUAAAGAAGUAUUUAUUGUACUUUUUUCCUGUGGUAAUAAACCCGUUUAUCGAGCAUGAAUUUGGAAGCGAACGCUCAAAACUUGCAAGCCCUCGCUGCUCAACUACAGGAAACGCUAAGUUCCGAAGAUCAAGCGCGUAAAGACGGUAAGAAAUU